GACGAACGCUGGCGGCGUGCUUAACACAUGCAAGUCGAGCGAUGAAGCACCUUCGGGUGUGGAUUAGCGGCGAACGGGUGAGGAACACGUGAGGAAUCUGCCUUCCACUCUGGGAUAACUCCGGGAAACCGGGGCUAAUACCGGAUACUUUCAACUGGCGGCAUCGCCGGUUGAAGAAAGUUUUUCGGUGGAAGAUGACCUCGCGGCCUAUCAGCUUGUUGGUGAGGUAAUGGCUCACCAAGGCGACGACGGGUAGCCGGCCUGAGAGGGCGCCCGGCCACACUGGGACUGAGACACUGCCCAGACUCCUACGGGAGGCAGCAGUGGGGAAUAUUGGGCAAUGGAGGAAACUCUGACCCAGCGACGCCGCGUGAGGGAUGAAGGCCUUCGGGUUGUAAACCUCUUUCAGCAGGGAAUAAGCGAAAGUGAAGGUACCUGCAGAAGAAGCACCGGCUAACUAUGUGCCAGCCGCCGCGGUAA
rnacentral:rRNA from 1 species